CCUACGGGGGGCAGCAGUGAGGAAUAUUGGUCAAUGGGCGGAAGCCUGAACCAGCCAAGUAGCGUGCAGGAUGACGGCCCUACGGGUUGUAAACUGCUUUUAUACGGGAAUAACGCGCCUUACGUGUAGGGCUUUGCAUGUACCGUAUGAAUAAGGACCGGCUAAUUCCGUGCCAGCCGCCGCGGUAAUACGGAAGGUCCGGGCGUUUUCCGGUUUUAUUGGGUUUAAAGGGAGCGUAGGCCGCAUGUCAAGCGUGCGGUGAAAUGUCCGGGCUCAACCCGGGCCUUGCAGCGCGAACUGGCGGGCUUGAGUCCGCGGAAAGCAGGCGGAAUUCGUCGUGUAGCGGUGAAAUGCUUAGAUAUGACGAAGAACCCCGAUUGCGAAGGCAGCUUGCUAGGCCGGAUCUGACACUGAUGCACGAAAGCGUGGGGAUCGAACAGGAUUAGAUACCCCUGUAGU
rnacentral:rRNA from 1 species